UAUUCUUACGUGAUGUCUUCCGAAUCCAGCAUAAUUUCUGGCAAACGGUAGCAUUAACUACAUAGAUCGAAUAAUGUAUGGAUAAAUAACAUGCAUAUUUGGGAAAGAUUAAUCUGGUAUGUUGAAAUAAUUAAAAAUGAAAAACUACACAUGAACUUUUGAUAUAGGAGACUGAGAUAAAUAUCCGGAUAUACACUGAAGAUGACCAAGGAGAAGGUAGUCUAAGGAGUCACAGGAGAAAAGACAGGGACCCAAGCUCUUACACGUUUUUAAGCAUUGGCCUCAUCAAUCAUUUUGACAGCCAUUGGGCUGGAUCAGAGACCCAUAAAAAGUCACAUUAUGGAUGAAAAAACAACUCAGUAGAAAACUGUUGAAAAUGAAAAGUUUCCAUCAUUCUUACAUAGUCUACCUACUUGAAUUUUCAUGCUUCAACAGAAAAGAGAGAAGGAAAUCAGAAAGAGAACUUUUGAAGAUCUCUGAGAUGAGGCCCAGAUAUGACAACUGUGGUUUCAGCAGUUACAUUAAAGUGUUAGAAACACACAAGUCUCCACAGAGAUUUAAGAAAGACUUUUGUUGCGCUGACUUCAUCCUUUUCCUUUGACAGCCAUCUCUGAAAUUCAGGCCUAGAAAGUGUCUAAAAUACAACACAUUAUUAUUUAUAUUCAUUGUAGAUAUAAUAGAAAUGUGCUUUAAAUUAAUUAAAAUGUGUAAUAUAAUAGCAACUAAUAUACUUCCCUAUAGAUUUUGGAAGUAAUUUAAAAAUGUAAAACCCAACUGGCCCCAAUUGAAAGCACAUGGUUAAGCUGCUGACAUCAAAAGCAGAAAAUGUCAGACAUGGUGGAGAUGAAGAGAAAAUGAUGAGGCUUCCAGGGAUUAGCCAGAUCGGUGAGUUACCUGCAGAGAAAUAGGGGCAGCAAGUGGUACACAGCAACAAGACUUAACAGCGACAGCAAUGACCAGAAAACGUCAAAUUCAUAUUGCUCUAUUUUAGACGUCCUGAUUAUACCCAAAUUAUCCAUCUGGUUUUGGUUAAUACUGAAAUACCAGCACAAGAUCUUUAGAAAAUUAAACAGUAGUUCCCUUUCCUAUUCAAUGUAAGAAAACAUUCAUAAAAUUUGCACUAGAAAAGUAUAUUCUAAUAAUUAGGAUAAAUAUUCAUUUAAAAUAAAUGCAAAAUCUUUAAUGAA